rnacentral:rRNA from 1 species
UGAACGCUGGCGGCGUGCCUAAUACAUGCAAGUCGAGCGAACAGACGAGGAGCUUGCUCCUCUGACGUUAGCGGCGGACGGGUGAGUAACACGUGGAUAACCUACCUAUAAGACUGGGAUAACUUCGGGAAACCGGAGCUAAUACCGGAUAAUAUAUUGAACCGCAUGGUUCAAUAGUGAAAGACGGUUUUGCUGUCACUUAUAGAUGGAUCCGCGCCGCAUUAGCUAGUUGGUAAGGUAACGGCUUACCAAGGCGACGAUGCGUAGCCGACCUGAGAGGGUGAUCGGCCACACUGGAACUGAGACACGGUCCAGACUCCUACGGGAGGCAGCAGUAGGGAAUCUUCCGCAAUGGGCGAAAGCCCGACGGAGCAACGCCGCGUGAGUGAUGAAGGUCUUCGGAUCGUAAAACUCUGUUAUUAGGGAAGAACAAAUGUGUAAGUAACUAUGCACGUCUUGACGGUACCUAAUCAGAAAGCCACGGCUAACUACGUG